rfam:Otolemur garnettii contig117762, whole genome shotgun sequence.
AUAGAAAUUAGCACUAUGCAAAGAGAGAAUGAAAGAAAUGAUAAAAAGUGAGCAUGGCACCUGUGCAAGGAUGAUACUCAAAUUCAUGAAGCAUUUCUUUUUUUU